AGAAGUCAGAGAGAUUUGAUGUCAAUGAGAUGCCCUUCUGCUGUGCUGAAAGAAAGCAGCUAUGUUGUGAGUGAGGAGUGCAUUUGACAGAACCUGCAGAUAGCCUCUCAGAGUUGUGAGUGAUCUAUGCUGGAUAUCCAGCAAGAAAACAGGGACCUCAGUCCUACAGCCACAGGGAGAUGAAUCCUGCCAACAAGCUGAAUGAAAUGGGAAGAAAACCUUAAGCCUCAGAUAAGAUUAUAGCCCCUGCCAACAUCUUGAUUUCAGCCUGUUGAGACUCUGAGCAGAGAACCUAGCUAUGCCAUGGCUAGACUCCUGACCCAAAGACCCAGUAAGAGAGACGAAGGGCACCUUUUCAGUGGAGAAACCUGGCAGAUACCAAGGUCCUCUCCCCUGGGCCUUGCUGAGGUUCUGUGUGAAGCUGAGCUCGGCAUGAUCUCCCUGCUGCCAUGCGAGGUUCCCCACGCGCACCGGGAGCCCACGGUACCGCUGGGCUGUCCUUUCUGAGCACCUGGAGCAGACUGCAAUUAAUCAGGGUGCCAGCCUGUUCGCAAGCCUGCUAUCUAUAUUCCCUCCAGGACAGAGACUAAUCUUUCCUCAAAGAGCCAAGUAGGGACAUGAGCAUUUUCCUUCUCGUAAAUCUGCCAGAAAUUUCAGAACGAUCUAAAAGUGUUAAAGACUAUAUGCAGAAAGCAUGUAGAUCUGGAUUCUUCCCUUUGUCCACACUUGCAUUUCCUCGCUCCUCCUUCUCUGGCCAGCAUCCCCUUUCACACACUGUUGGACAUGACCACAACUGUGCAUUUCUUCUUGACAGCCAACUUAAGUCCUUCCUACAUUUUCAGGAUAGUGGGUGGAAGGUUUUUCUCAGGAGCGUUGUAUGGAAGCCAGCAAGGGACAAUUAUAUAGGGAGGUAACCUUCUAUUAUACUAGGGUUUUUGCGGUUACAGGCAGUCAAAGCCAGAUAGAAAUGUAAAGAAACGAGCCUAUGUUAACACAGCUGUGUACAAGGAUAUGCCCUAAAGGCCUGGGGUUUGGGAUGGAAAAGGUUUGGGAUGUUUCCUUUUCUCUUUCCAUUGACAACAAAAUCUGCUGUUUCCUUUUGAGAUUUUUGGGAAAGAGAUGGCAGAUGAUGAGGUUAGGACAUAGAUGUGUGAAUACUGCAGCUGUUAACCCCAAAGCACAAUUGAUUCACUGUUAUUGGUCUAAAAACAAAAUAGAAAUGAUCCAAACAUAGCUGAAUAUAGGCUACAAUCUAGUUUCUUCUUUUAUUACAGUCUUUGGCUAUCAAUGGUCCUUUUGCCUUUCCCUUAGGGAACAGGAAAGACAGAGACUGACAUGAAUCAGUGUAACAUUUAAACCACAGUGCUAGCUAGCAUGACUGUGAUAGCCAUCUCGACGUGAUGUCAUAAGUAGCUGGUGUUGCCAUGGCAACACUACAAUGGUAAACAAAGAUGUUUUCUGGAUGGCUAGAGUAAAGGUGGCUUUUAUGCUGUCUCACACCCUCCUGCCCCUGACCCCCUACCAUGGAUAGGAAAGAUUUUCUUUUCUUUUGCUAUGCAUUUUUCACCUUCAGAUGAAAUAAGCGAGGUAUUUUAAUCAACAGCUAUUUGUGACUUAUAAGUUUUAAACAUGAAGCACUCUGAAAUGUUUGGAGCAAGACUGUAGAAAAACAACAGCAAAUUCAACCCAAAGAAAGCAAAAUGAAGGAAAGAUAAGAUAAAAGCAGAAAUUAGCAAAAUAGAAAACAAGCCUACAAUUGAGAGAAUCAACAAAUUUGUUCUUCUAAACGGUUAUAAAAUUGGUAAACUCCUGAUGAGAUUGGUGAAGACAACAGGAGAGAAGGAAAAAAUGAAUAAUAUCAAACAUGAAAAGGGGGGACAUCGCUACAAUCCUACAGGCAUGAAAGCUACCAUGAGAGACUAUCAUGAACAAAUUUUAGGAGAAAUAUAGAAAUUUCUAGGAAAAAAAACUUAACCAAAAUCAUACCAUGAGAAAUAGCCUAUUAAAUUGUUUUUAAUUAUUAAAUAUAUUGACUAUGUAAUUAAAAUUAUUUCCCCAAAGGAAAUUCUAGGCUCAGAUGGCUUCACUACUGAGUUCUACAAAAUUUAAGAAAGAAAUAAUAUCAAUCUUACACAACUAUUCCAGAGAAAGAAACGGAAUAAAUACCUUCUGACUUGUAUUAUGAAGCUAGCAUAACCUGGUUUCCAAAACCUAACAAGGACAUCAGAGAAAAGAAAAAUAAUAAGGCCAUCAAACCCAUGAACCAAACACUGCAAUAUACAGAAAGUAUAUUAAAUCACAACCAAUUUCGAUUUAUUCCAGUAAUGCAAGGGUGGUUUAGUAUUCAAAAAUCAAUCAAUGUAAUUCACCAAAUUAACACCAGAAAGGAGAAAAAGAAUAUAUUCAUUUCAAUAGAAACCCAAAAAUAGCAUUUGAUAAAAUUCAACAUCCAUUUAUAAUUAAAAAUUAAUAAUUCUUACCAUACCAAGAAUAGACAGGAAGUUCAUUAAUCUGAUAAAUAAUGCUUACAAAAUAGUUAAAGCAAAUAUUAUAUUUGAUGGUGAGAUGUUGAAAGUUUUCUCUCAGAUUCAACAUAAAUAUUAGCACAUGAUUUCUCUUCAACAAAAUAUUAGCAGUCCUAGCAGGUUCGGUAAGCUAAUAAAAAGAAAUAAAAUAUAUAGUGUUUAAAAGAGAGGUUAACAUGCCAUUAUUUGCAUUUGAUCUGACUGUAUAAUUAGGAAUGCCAAAAAAUAUCUACAUAAGAAUUAUUGGAACAAUGAAUGACUUUAGCAAGAUUGAUGUAUAAAAGUCAAUAUGAAAAAUGAAUUGUUUUUAUAUACCAGCAAGAAUCUCUAAGAAAAAAAAUUAAAAAUACCUUUACAAUAGGCCAAAAAUAUCAUCUACCUAGUAAUGUCUAACUAAAAACAUGAAAAAUCUCCUACACACAUGUGCUUGUGUGUGUGUGUGUAUAUAUAAAUGUAUAUUUCUAUAAAUAUAUUAUUGGGAGAAAUUUAAAGAGAAUUAAGCAAAUGGAAAGAAUACAUCAUGUUUAUGGAUUAGAAGACUCAAAGCGGAGUCCAGAAAGAGAACGAUGUAUAUGUGGACACUUGAUUUAUGAUAAAAGUGACAUGGAGGCUGAUGAGAAGGACGGAAUUUUCAAAAAAUGGUAUUAGUUUAACUACAAUUUUUACCAAAAUACUGAACAAAUAAAAAGGGAAAAGAAAAGUUAACCCCUAUCUCACACCAAACACAAAAAUUAAUUCCUGGUUCAGUGUAGAUCUAGAUAUGAAACACAAACUAACACAGCUUGUAUAGACUAAUAAAGGAACACAUUUUAAUGUUCUUGGGAUAGGGAAAGAUUUUGUUAAACCGGGCACAACACAGACCAACCAAAAGGGAAAUGAUUGAUAUAUUUGAACUACAAUUAAAAUGAUCAUUUCUGUUCAUUGAAAGACACCAUUACAGAAUGGAAAAGCAAAACACAUAGUGGGAGGAGGUACUUGCAAUCCAAAUAAUAACAAAGAGCUUAUAUUUAGGAUGUAUGAAGAACUCCUUCAAAUGAAUAAGAAAGCCCAUCUAAUAGAACAAUGGGCAAGAAUCUCCACAGGCACUGAGAAGAUAGACAAAUGGCUGAUAAACAAUCCUAUCAGUAAUAAGGAAAACGCAAAUUAAAAUUACAGUGAAUAAUGUCCAACAACUGGAUAAUGGAUAAACAGAUUGCAGUACUUUCCCAUGAUGAAAUACAACUUAGCAAUAAAAAGGAACAAGCCACCAACACACACAACAACAUGGAUGAAUUUCAAAAGCAUUAUGCUAGAUGAAAUAGGACGUACACAAAAGACAACAUACUGUAUGUUUCUAUUUACGUAAAAUUCUAGGAGAGGAAAAAUUGCACUGAUAGAGAUCAAUUGAAGCUCAGGUCUGUGGGUAGAGGAGAGAAUUGGCUGUAAAGGGGCAUGAGAAAACUUUUUGGGGUGUUGCAAAUGUUUUGUCUUGUGUGUUGUGGUGAAUAUAUUACUGUUUAUUUUUGUUAAAGCUCAUUGAAUAUAUUCAUCCCAUGAAAAAUUAUAAGCAAUGAAAAUGAAUGAAUCACUGCACCAACAUGGAUGAAUUUUAAAACUAUAAUGUUGAGAAAUAAUAACAAUAGAAGAAUUCAUAUGUUCUACUUAUAAAAACAGGAUCACUCUGGUGGCUCUGUUGCACACUGGUUGAAAGGAAGUCACAUGUGGAAGCCGAAAGACUAGUUGGGGGCUAUUGCAAUAAUCUUAGUGAGAGACAAUGGUGACUCAGAAGUGAAGAAAAGGGGAAAUGUUGUGGAGAUAUUUUCAAGGUAUAGCUAGCAGGAUUCUUUUAUUUAAAUAAAUUGAAUGUGGGAUAUAAGGAAAAUAAGAGUCAGGGAUGACUCCAAGUUUUUGGAUCUAAGCAACUAUAGUUUCCAUUAAGUGAAGUGGGAAAUAAUAUUUUACAGAUAGCAUGACUGUAUAUGCAGAAAAUCCAAGGAAUCAAUAGAUAAGUUAUUAAAGUUAAUACAGAAGUUUAACAUAUUGUCAAAUGAAAGUAGGUAUACAAAAAUCAAUAGAAUUUCUAUACACUGAAAACAAAUAUAAUAAAAAUUUAAAAUUAUCAAGAUAAUUGCAUUAAUAGCUGGAAUUAAAUCUAGAGUGAUGUCAGCAAGACGGUUGAAUAAGACAUCCCUUGCUCUUAUCCUCCUCGACAACAAUAAUUUGACAUCCGUCCACAGACGGAAGUUCCUGUGGGAUCCUGGAGCUGUGGGAUCCUGGUAGGAGACUGUGAAACCCUGGUGCAGUCCUAAACCGAGGAGAAUAAUUUAAAGAAGGCAAGCUUGUGCCAAGGUGACUUACUCACUGACAGUGGUCCCAGCUGGAAACAGCUCCAUACCCUGAGGAUUUGGCCACAGCCCCAUUUGGCCUUGGUCUUGUCACCAGCACUACAUGCCAUGGGACCCAGGAGGAGUCAUGCCCACCCAUGCAUCAUGUCAUAAGCAUACAGACCUAAGUCCUAGCUGUGGACCAUAAAGUGGCCCACAAACCUGCUCCAGCCCCUGUCAGCUACAAUCCAGGUGUCCCUGGAAGUAAGCUCACCAAACUCAGUCAGACUGUAGAUUCUGAAAGGGAUCUAUAACUUGGCUCCAGCCCAUCCUAUCCAUAGUCUUCCAGUAAUCCUGCUGGCACAGGGACCUGGCAGGAGACACUUCCACAUGAGCCCCUGGAGAUCCUGAAAGAGUCCUAUACUUGGCUCCAGCCCCUUCACAGCCACAGUCUGCCAACAGUUCUGAGGAUCCAGGGUCCCAGUGGGAUACACUCCAGUCUGCACCCCUAGAGAUUCCAAAAGGGCCCUAUACUCAGCUCUGGCCUCUCCAGUUGCAGUCAGGAAUCCAGCCUGCCCAGGGACCUGGAGGGAGACAUGCCCAUCUGUGCCUCCAGAGCCAGGUCUGCAGACCCCAAUCUUGGCUGUGGAACAUGAGGCAGCCCUGAGGCUUAGUUCCAGCUCUCAGCCACAGUCCAGAGCCAGUCCUGCACCCUAAGGUACUCAUCCAGUAACUAGGCAGGAGUCUUCCCAGGAACCUUGUCAGAGUAACACCCAUCCACACACCUGAUAAAG
rnacentral:lncRNA from 1 species